GGUGGAUAGCAGAGAGCAGGGCACGGAUAACACCGUGAGCCGCCGAUGGGAUGGGAUGAUCCCAAGCGCUCGGAGCAAUGCCGGCCCGGCCCGCCUGGUGGCAAACUGCUUUCACUGGAAUCGCUUCUCCGUUCAGCAGAGUGACUCAGCUGACUUGGGUGAACCCCUGGAACUGUGCUAGCUGGAAACCAGCCUAGACAUGCCCUCUGGCUCCUACCACCGGGGAACUCCCUUAGCUGUGACAUUAUAAUGGGAGGUGGAGACACCUCGAGGAGAGGGUCGAGACAGACAACAGCAAUUACAGUCAAUAACAUCUCUGACUUGCCUCAGUUACAGAAACCUCAGGAGAACUGUCCACCCUUCAAAUCUGUUUUGAUGUGUUUUAAAUGCAUGACAUGGAGCACAGCCACUCUCAGCAGAUUGCAGAAAGAGGCCAUCAAACCAUAACACAUCUUCGGAGGGCUUUACAGGUAUUUCAUUUGUUCCUCGCUGAGCUCCUCCAGCCACGCAGGCCAGGUUGCCCAAGAGCAGAGGCAGCGCACAGACCUGCUCCAGAAGCAGCAUGUGGAUGAACUUGUGUGGCAGUAGAGCUCGGCACGAGUCUGUCUGUCAGCCUAAAUGAGCAAGAAAACUGCGCGGUGCCUUGGAGGCCAGCCCGACCCCCCUCCCGGUGAGCCGCGGGCAGAGGAGAGCGGC